rnacentral:lncRNA from 1 species
UUUUGAGUCUUCUAUCAUCCUUUUGGCCACCUUGUAUUGAAACUAAUUUUCUCCUUCAGAGUUUUUCACAGCUUGUUGAGGCCCUUAACUCUCUAGAAAGGGGCUACCUGCUAGCAAGUAAUGAACACAAACUAUUGCAGCAGCGAGGUGCAGAAAUCAACCACUUUGACCCUGAACGGUGAGAGUUCCAUCCAUGAUAAAUAUGCCACAUCAGUGCAUUUGUAUUAUAUUUUGUUCUUAUUCUUGUUCUUGUAUAUAUGGGUAUGUAUUAGUGAGCUCGAAGGACUUAUCUACCAGUGUGGAUUGCAUAUGGAUGAGCUGGAGGAGCAGGUAGAACAGAUGCAGCAGGAACAGCCCACCUGUGAGGCACCUCCCUCUCAAUCUCCUCAACCCACCCCAUCUGCUCCCUCUGAAGGAGGAGAAACUCUGACUUACCUACAGAGGGCACCUGUGCCCUUGCUGAUGGUUCCAGAACAGGCAGCAGGUGUGGAGGUCAGCUCAGUCAAAGAAGAAUGUGUUGAAGAGGAAGCAGAAGUGGAUGAUGAAGACACUGUGGAUGCUCUGUACUUCAAACCUCUUGAUGGCAAACACAGGGAGGAGGAUUUUCUCUCUGCUACCAUAGGCAGUGACAAGCAGCCAGCAAAAGAGGAGACAGAGGGACAAGGCGAAAGACCUGGAAAUCUGGAGGUCCACGAAAGUUUUCCACACCGCAAAGAGCGGUCCAUCCGGUCUAGUCCACCUGCAUGGAGGGCCUCCAAUCAGGCCAAGUCUCUCGCUGCUUCUAGUAGCCACCAUAGGUUAGAGAUUGGAAAGUCCCACAGUAGCAGCUUAAGCAGCCUGGGUGAUAUCAGUGCAUUGGAGAGGAGGAACCUCAAACUCGAACCUGGGAACCAACGAGUGCUUUCUCAGGAUGGGAUCAUCUCUCCAGAGACAGACAGUGGGUUUGUUGGGUCAGAGAGCAAUCAUCUGACUCCUGCUGCAGCUCCCACUUCUCUCCACCGGAGGGUUUCACAGAGUGUUUCAGUCCGCCAGAAGGGGACAAAAGGGAAACAUCAGACUGGCCUGAUAUUGGCAUCAUCUCUUGCUGCUUCACAGUCGCACAGUCGCACAGCUUCAGAGUCAAGAGAGGUCUCCCAGCUCGGCCCUGAGCAGCCAAACAGGAGCAGGAGGAGACGUACCUUCUCUUGCUCCCCACAGCGCUGGGCCAAUUGGUCAGAACGAACCGACAGAGCCGACAGUGGAGCCAGUGAGUUUGGGCUAGAGAGUGACAGUACUUACACUGUGUCUGUAGAUGGACAGAGUCACCAGUAUGCAGAAUCUAUUACUUCCCUCAACAGCUCCUACGCAAGCUCCUCCCCCACUGCAUGGUAUCACCAUGGUGAUUCUCUCGGAGCACUGGGCAUCAGAAUGGAGGCAAAUCGCAAUGAAGUGCUCCAGGCACUGCAGGCUGAAGUCACCACACUGACCAAGAGACUAGAGAGCUGUCUGGGCAAUAAGCCUCUCAGCCCUGUAAGAGCUGAUCCUUCAGCUCAAGUGAAGUACCAUCAUUACACCUCAACGCCUCACAUCAGCUCUGGGGAGAGAUUUUGGACAGAUGUCCGCAGGAGGAGAAGAGAGGGACAAAUGGUAGAUGAAGUACAAGAGGAGUCUACAAUGAGACGAGCAGCCAGAGAGAGAUCACCCUGUGCAGAGAGACAAAAACCGCAACAUGACAUCUUGACAUGUUCAGUGUCAGGACCCUCAACACUCCAGUUUCAGCCUCAGGUGUCCAGAUAUACUCAAACAUCAACUGCAACACCAGAGAGCUGCUGUUCCCACACUGCCCACAGGAGAGAAACACACCCCAAGCAGCGUCCUGUUGUGUCUAUACAAGUAACUGGAAGAGCAGAUGAACCUGACGGCAGGUUGUCCUCCCCUCUUUGUCUCAAAUGUUCAUCAAAUCACCAAAGACAAUCUGAACGACCAGAUGGUGGCAACAGAGAGUCACCACCCUGCUGUCAUCACUGUGGAUGCUGUGAACCACACAGAAACACAAAACCAGCCCGUCAGAGAGACUCAGACGCCCCCAUACACACAAGCUGUCAACUGGUUGAGUCUCCUAACAGAGCGGCAAGGAACACGCCAGCUCCUGCGCUGCUGCAGUGCAUGCCAGUGUGUCCUCCAUCACUCAUGAUGUACUCACUGCCCCUGUACAUGUCUCCAAGCAACAGCACUAGCCCAGCCUCAGGGGUCAAAGGUCACGGGGAAGUUAGGGGGAGGUUGAGACGCUCCCUUUCCACUGAUAAGCAGCUCUCAUUGGACAGUUCUCUGAACAGAGCCAUCAGAGCAGCGCGGAGCAUGAAAAGCACCUCAAAACACAUGGCUCGCUCUCUGGCUACUGGGCUUCACUACCAGGAGCUGCUAGUCUCAACUCACUUUACAGGCAUCUAG